rnacentral:rRNA from 1 species
AGUGAACGCUGGCGGUAGGCCUAACACAUGCAAGUCGAACGGCAGCACAGUAAGAGCUUGCUCUUACGGGUGGCGAGUGGCGGACGGGUGAGGAAUACAUCGGAAUCUACUUUUUCGUGGGGAUAACGUAGGGAAACUUACGCUAAUACCGCAUACGACCUACGGGUGAAAGCCGGGGAUCUUCGGACCUUGCGCGAUUGAAUGAGCCGAUGUCGGAUUAGCUAGUUGGCGGGGUAAAGGCCCACCAAGGCGACGAUCCGUAGCUGGUCUGAGAGGAUGAUCAGCCACACUGGAACUGAGACACGGUCCAGACUCCUACGGGAGGCAGCAGUGGGGAAUAUUGGACAAUGGGCGCAAGCCUGAUCCAGCCAUACCGCGUGGGUGAAGAAGGCCUUCGGGUUGUAAAGCCCUUUUGUUGGGAAAGAAAGGCAGCAGGUUAAUACCCCGCUGUUCUGACGGUACCCAAAGAAUAAGCACCGGCUAACUUCGUG